AUGAACGCUGGCGGCGUGCCUAAUACAUGCAAGUCGAGCGAACAGACGAGGAGCUUGCUCCUCUGACGUUAGCGGCGGACGGGUGAGUAACACGUGGAUAACCUACCUAUAAGACUGGGAUAACUUCGGGAAACCGGAGCUAAUACCGGAUAAUAUAUUGAACCGCAUGGUUCAAUAGUGAAAGACGGUUUUGCUGUCACUUAUAGAUGUAUCCGCGCCGCAUUAGCUAGUUGGUAAGGUAACGGCUUACCAAGGCAACGAUGCGUAGCCGACCGGAGAGGGGGAUCGGCCACACUGGAACUGAGACACGGUCCAGACUCCUACGGGAGGCAGCAGUAGGGAAUCUUCCGCAAUGGGCGAAAGCCUGACGGAGCAACGCGGGGUGAGUGAUGAAGGUCUUCGGAUCGUAAAACUCUGUUAUUAGGGAAGAACAAAUGUGUAAGUAACUAUGCACGUCUUGACGGUACCUAAUCAGAAAGCCACGGCUAACUACGUG
rnacentral:rRNA from 1 species